rnacentral:lncRNA from 1 species
GUGAGUAUUUGCACGUGAGAACUUAGCUCACACAGGCUUUGUACAUUUUUCAUAUUGCAAACCCGUCAACAAAAGGAGGAAGAGGAUCUAAGGGGAAUGAGUGGGUUUUGCGGAUUUACGAAUUUCUCUACAUAAACCAGAAGGUUUGGGUUGGAAAUCUGCUAAAGAAAAAACUUACAACAGACCACAGGGCUGUAAAUCCAGAGACUGGAAGGAGGAAAAGAGAAACAGUGUGUGUGGCUGCAGUGUUUGUGGUUAGAUGAGAACCAAGCGCUGAGCAGGACAGCGAAGGGGGUGGCUGGCAUGCUUUGCUCUGCUCUCAGAGCCAACACAAGUCGCGGAGCGCGCUGACACCACGGAGCACGAUCUCGGGGCGCCUCUGUGCCGCCCAGGGUCCUGCGCAUCUGCUUGCCCCGCGCUCCGCCCUGCGCCGGCCGCGUCUUCGGGGUCCCCGCGCCCCUACCCUGAGCGCUUCCGCCUGCGCUGAGCUCCCUGCGCGCCUGCAGCCCCAGCGCGGCAGCAGCGGGAACUCUUCUCUCCCGUGUUGGGACCCCACAGCUUGGACGACAGGGACCCCAGGACGCCUCCAUCACGUCAAGGCAGGCCUCUUCUUCUAAAGCAAGGGAAUGGACUCAGACUCUGGGUCUGAGCACCAGUGUUUGUUGCUCUGCAGGACCGGCAGCCUGGGUCAAGGAGGACACCGAGGGACUGCAGAGGUGCAGGCACAGGACUGAUUAGAGCAGUCGUGUUCGUAUUCCGGAGUUGCUAUGGCAAUCACGCCAGGUUGCAGGCAUUUUCUCAGUAUCAGGAUCCUUUAAGCAUUUGGGAGGAAAAGCGACAAAUUAUUUCAAUUAGAGAAAAUGUGCUGAGUACUGGCCUUGAAACAAAUCACAAAAAGGAUUAGCAAAUAGUCCGCAUUGUUUCGAAGGGGAAAGUGUGCAAUUGCAAAGCAAGUCUCUGGCGCUGGCUACUUUUGUGUUUCCUUAGCCACUUCUCUUCCUACCCUACAGUCCCAAUUUUUUUUUUUAACUGUACAUUGAGCUAAUAAUGUGUAGAAUUAAUUUUGAUCACACAACAAGCUAAACUGGGAUCUUCCAACCACUCAUCUCAACGCAGACAGCUCCAGAAUACUGCCCACAGCAGCCCGUGGGGUGGAGGAAGAACGCUGAUUUGCAGAGAGGAGUCCUAGAGCCACAUAGAAGGAAGGGGGCUAAAACAACAAGGGUAUGACAUGAGAUGUUAUAAUGAUUGAAAUCCUUAAAUAUAAACCGGGAGCCAAAGGAAUAAAGAGUUUAUUUCCUCAAAUUAGCUUCAAGUAUAAACUUUUGCAGGGAUUUCCUAUUUGAAAUGAACUCUCAUGCCCACGCAGGUCCCUCUCACACAAGUAUGGGAUGGAAAUCUGGUGCACUAUUAACACUCCUGUGUGGACAGACCAGGAGAGGGCAGCAUGCAAACUCCGAAAAAUGAUGCUGCCUCCCGGUGAGGGGAAGACUCCAAUUUCCAAAUGAGUGAAAAAUGUCUCCCUAACUUGAUGCACCCUUCUCCCUUUGGAAAGCAGAGUCUAGAGUCUUGAUAAGGGAUAAACCAUUCAGAAAUGUUUAUUUCUACUUCUGUCUCCAAAAUUGGUACCCUCUGGCAAAAUAAGGAAAGCAGCAUAUUUGACACAGAACCUAAUUUCUCUUUUAAUUCACUUCACUCUUUGAAGCUAUUCAAGCGGUCUUUAUCUUCACUCUGUCAGACAGGAGUGGGAUAAAGGGAAGCAGAAUACAGAGAAAAGAAGAAAAACAAAGAAUCAGCCUAAGCAUUCCUGUCGUGGCUCAGUGGUUAAUGAAUCCGACUAGGAACCAUAAGGUUGCGGGUUCAAUCCCUGGCCUCGCUCAGUGAGUUAAGGAUCCGGCAUUGCCGUGAGCUUUGGUGUAGGUUGCAGACGCGGCUCGGAUCCCGCAUUGCUGUGGCUCUGGCAUAGGCCGGUGGCUAUAGCUCCGAUUGGACCCCUAGCCUGGAAACCUCCAUAUGCCGCAGAAGCGGCCCAAGAAAUGGCAAAAAGACAAAACAAAAAACAAACAAACAAACAAAAACUUAAUAACCUAAGAAACUCAGGAGACUUGGGUUUGUACCUGUUCCUCUUCUUCACACUUGAAGUGUGAGCUUAAGGAACGCCUGCAAUCUAUCAGUAGCCCUGGACAGUGAGAAGGUGGCAGUGGGUCACUGUAUUUCAUUCUAGCCCGAAACAUCAGUUCUACAUGCUUCCUGCAGUGACAACAGCUGACAUUUCUUGGAGGGUGGCUAGUCCCUAAACACUUUAUAGGUAUCAUCUAAUUGUUACAAAAAUCCUAACUAAUAUUAUUACUAGUAUCUCCAUUUUACAAAUGAGAUAACUAAGGCUUAGAGAAAUUAAAAACUUUCAAAAAGUUAUGUGGCCAAGCAAGUUGCCCAAAUGGGUUUCAAAUCCUCCUCCUCCAUAUUUCCCACAGUUUGUUGUGCUUCCAUUCAUUUAUUCAAAAACCUGUACUGAGAAGACAACUAAGUGCCUCGCAUGGUUAUAGGCAUAAUAGUGAAGAGCUCAAAACUAGUAAUUGUAAUUGUGCAUCCCGAGCAUUAUAAUAGAAGAUGCUCUGAAAAGAUAUGGCAUGAUCUUUACCUUGUUAAUGAAGCCUUUUGACAACAUAAGUCCACUCAUUAAAACAGCUCACGUCUUUUCUUUACAUCAUAUCAGAUAUUCCUCCCCCUCUAGUAUAAUGUAGUUUCAGUCUUCUUUGUAUAUUUUUGUCAUGUAUAAUAUCAUUCAUUAAGUUUUAAAUUCUCUUGAGAACACAGGACAUUUCUUAUUCAUCAUUUUAGUUCCCAGCAAAAAAUUGGUGCUUAAUUAAUUGCGCCUUUUGAGAUCCAGCUACAUCUAAUUUGGGGCAAGGACUAGAGACUCCUGUGUAUCUGCUAAAAGGCAGUCUUCAAAAAGCUGAAAUAGGGGUUCCUGUUGUGGCAUAGUGGAAACAAAUCUGACUAGGAACCAUGAAGUUGUGGGUUCGAUCCCUGGCCUCACUCAGUGGGUUAAGGAUGCAGUGUUGCCGUGAGCUGUGAUGUGGGUCGCAGACACGGCUCGGAUCUGGCGUUGCUGUGGCAGUGGUGUAGGCUGGCAGCUGUAGCUCCAAUUAGACCCCUAGCCUGGGAACUUCCAUAUGCCGCAGGUGAAGCACUAAAAAAAAAAAAAAAAAAAAAAAAAAGCAAAAAGCUAAAAUAGCUUUUCCUCUAGCAUAGGCUAAACAAAUGACAAACUCAGCCUUACAACCUGGAAAAAGUUGGUUUUUUACCCGUGUAUUACUGAUCCUUUGUGUUAUACUUCCCUAUUUAAAGUUAUCAUUGCAGUAAGAAAAUUUUUAUAAAAAUGAGAAUUUUUUAAAAAUGAGAAUUAAUUGGAGUUUUAAGAUGUCAUUUAAAAAUCCAAUUAAUUCUCUUUAAACAUUUUUACAUUGUUCAUUUAUAAAAUCCAAUUAAUUCUCUUUUAAAAAAACUUGUGACUGACUUUUUAAUAAAUUUUUGAUUAAAGGAUAGUUGAUUUACAGUGCUGUGUUGAUUUCUGCUGCGCAGCAUAAUGACACAGUCACGCAUACAUUUUUUUCCCAUAGAGAUAUGAAAGUCAAAACUCCAGGGAUCAUUGCCUCGCAUUGUCAGGACUGUCAUCAUCAAAAAGUCUACAACUAAUAAAUGCUGGAAAGGGUGUGUAGAAAAAUGAACGCUUCUGCACAGUUGGUGGGAAUGUGAACCGGUACAGCCACAAUGAAGAACGGGAUGGAGAGUCCUUAAAAAUCUCUAAGUUCUCUUGUGGUGCACUGGGUUAAGAAUCCAGCAUUGUCACUGUAGCAGCCUGGGUUGCUGCUAUGGCGUGGGUUUGAGCCCUGGCCUGGGAACGUCCACAGACCAAAAAAAAAACCCUAAAAAUAGAGCUACCAUAUGAUCCUGUAGCCUUACUCCUGGACAUAUAUCAUUUG